CAGAAAGUAGUUUAAGUUAGAACGCCAAUUUUGGGUAUUGGUAGUGGGGUGAAACACUUUCUUUCUGA
ensembl:Mt_tRNA